UAUAAUGGUGUUCAAUAUUUCUUGGACUUUGCUUACACUGUUGGAGAUCCUCAAGGCGAAGAAAUCCAGUGUCCUUGUGCAAAGUGUUGUAAUAUCUGUUGGUAUCGAAAGAAUGGAAUAUAUGAUCAUCUAAUAUGCUAUGGAUUUGUUGAAGGUUAUACAAGAUGGAUUAAUCAUGGGGAAUGGGAUUUUGUGAUGAAGGUUGAUAGUGACAUAGAUGAUGAAGUUAACUCAAACGUCAACAUUGAUGGUAAACCAGUGAUAAAAAGUUAUCUAAAAAUAGACGAAGAAAUCAGCAAAUUCAAACGGCAAUAAUUAAAGGAAGAAGUAAGAGAAUUACAUCAUUUUAUGAGUGGUGCAAAACAACCCUGUAUUGGAUGUUCAGGACGUGGCUAAGUAUUCCAGAUCUAACCUACUUUCUCGGGCUGAUGCAAAUAGUGCAGGGGACAUAAGUGGUCAAAACCUUUCCCGUUCCUCUGAAUCAACUCAUUAGCCAUGAAAAGAUUGACUAGUGUGCCUACAAAGCGGCUGGAUAGUAGUGUCCAAAGUAUUCUCAAUACCUUUGAACUGAUAGAACUUGGAAGACUGGUCUGGGGGCGAUUCAUCUGUGACAGAAUAAUUCCAUGAAGGACCAAGAAACUUAUGAUGUAAGUUUUCAGAAUGCUAAGACUGCUACUUGAAAUGCAUAAGAGGAAAGAGUUAUGAUGGGUCACCUAUACUUGUUAGCGUAGUCGAGGGUAAACAUACAUUUGAGUUUUUAUGUGCACACCUCUGUUUUUGAGACAAUAGAGCAAGUAGGGCAAAUCCCAAAGACUUCUGUGGUAGACUAUGGACAAAUUCCAGAUAUGUUGCUCAUAUACUUGUUUAAUUAUAAAUUCUAUUUCAAUGCGAGAUUGAUUUUACUUGA